CAACACCCAAGAGUCCCUAGCUAGAGUCAUCAUAAAUAAUAGCAUCAUCCAGUAAUAAACAUAGGAAAAAAUAAUGUAAAAUAAUUGUUGUUAUUAUUCACCUUCAUCACACAUAUAUAUACUCUUAUAUUUGACCCUUUAAUUUCAACUAAGUCAUCUUAACCUUGAGAUAGUUUAUAAAGGUGUAGGAAAAAGACAUGAUAAUGGUCUUCACUCUUUCAAACUUUGCUUUUACUUCAUUUCAAAAUUUCCAACUUAAAAGCUAUUCUUGGUUGGUUGGUUUUUUUUUUCAAAGUUUCAAUAGUAGGCUAUGAAACUAUAUGAGGGGCUUUUUGUCUUUUUUUAUGGAAAACCUAUAGAAAGGGGAGUGAAGGGAAUUCAAGUUCUUCAUUCCUACCUUCUUAAUGUAUCUGAUCAAUUACUCUAAUUCAUUUCAGAUCACAUCUUGUUGAAGCAAAGAGCAUCACCAAUGGAAUUGUAGAGGGGAUGAGAUUGAAGGAGAAACUGUUUUCAUUGGAAGGAAGAGUUACUCUUGCAAUGUAUUUUUUUGUUGGAUAACUUUUUGGUGCAGGAAAGGAAUAUAAGUCUAACAAGUGGGUUUGGAGAAAUGAACGUUAUGAAGAGAUAUAGUUAAAGGUGCUUAUCAAAUGUUUUACGAUUGAUAAGAGUGAAGGUUUUGGUCUAGCUACUAAGAUUAUUUUGAAUAAGAUGCUUCU